ensembl:lncRNA
GAUAUUAUCAGGUAUUCUGCCUAUGAUUUUACUGAGAUAAAGAAAUCUCAUAUCUAAGUGUUGUCUUCCUAAGUCUUCUCCCUGUUAUACAUUCCUCCCUUUUUAAAACCAUAAAGCUUUUAGGGAUCAUGAACUUGGCACUCUAAUUUUCAUAAGUUUGCCCAAGUCCUUGAUCAAAAUUCUCCAGUUAUCAUGAAUGAUCCUUUGUAUUCUAUCAUCACAUUAAAGUGUAAAGUAGUUGAGGGCAAGAUUAUCUUUUGGUUCUUUUUAUAUCUCCAGCAAAAUUAGCACUGUGUCUGGCACAUAGUAGGUACUUACUAAACAUUUAUUAAUUGAUUGAUUGACUUCUGAUUUUCCUGGUAUAGGGAAAUCCUUGAUGAGAAAAAUAAGGCAAACAUUAUACACCAGUCUAUCCAUGCUAUUCUCUCUGGUCUCCAGGAAAGGAUGAGAAAGGAUCUUGGAGAGGUGAAGAAGAUCUCUCUCUCAUAAAUUUUCAAAGUUUAUUUCCAAUAGGAAGUCUUUCCUAAGUGUGGUACUGUCGGCCAGUAAGCACAGCCACUAUGAUAAGAACUGGAGAUACAAAGGUUCAAAAGGUGAUCCCUGUCUUCAGGGAGCUCACAGUCUAAAAAGGAAGACAACAUGCAAGUAACUAUGUACAAAUUUAAGCCAGAUUCCCAAUAAGAUCAGGGGUGAAACAAAGAUACCCACUAUUACCACUAAUAUUCAAUAUUGUCCUAGAAAUUUUAGCUUUAGGAACAAGAGAUAAAAAAGAAAUUGAAGGAAUUAGAGUAGAAAACGAGAAAACAAAAUUAUCAUUGCAAAUGAUAUGAUGAUAUACUUAGGGAAUCCUAGAGAAUCAAUUAAAAAACUACAAGAAACAAUUAACAACUUUAGCAAAGUUGCAGGAUAGAAAAUAAAUCCACACAAAAUCAUUGGCAUUUCUAUAUGUUACCAACAACAGCAAGAGAUUAGAAAGAACAAUUCUAUUUAAAAUAAAUGAAAAUAAUGUAAAAUAUUUGGGAGUCUAUCUGCCAAGACAAAUUUACUAAAUGAAUACAAUUAUAAAACACUUUUCACACAAAGAAAGUUAGAUCUUAAGAACUGGAAGAAUAUCAAGUGUUCAUGAGCAGACUGAGCUAAUAUAAUAAAAAUUACAAUACCACCUAAAUCAAUCUACUUAUUUAUUUUUUUAAAUAGCUUUUUAUUGACAGAACCCAGGCCAGGGUAAUUUUUUACAGCAUUAUCCCUUGCACUCACUUCUGUUCCAAUUUUUCCCCUCCCUCCCUCCACCCUCUCCCCGAGAUGGAAAGCAGUCCUAUACAUGUUAAAUAGGUUACAGUAGAUCUUGGAUAUAAUAUAUGUGUGCAGAACCGAACAGUUCUCUUGUUGCUCAGGGAGAAUUGGAUUCAGAAGGUAUAAAUAACCUGAGAAGAAGAACAAAAAUGCAAGCAGUUUACAUUCAUUUCCCAAUGUUCUUUCUUUGGGUGUAGCUUCUUCUGUCCAUCCUUGAUCAAUUGAAACGAAGUUAGAUCUUCUCUUUGUUGAAGAAAUCCACUUCCAUCAGAAUACAUCCUCAUACAGUAUCAUUGUUGAGGUAUAUAAUGAUCUCCUGGUUCUGCUCAUUUCACUUAGCAUCAGUUCAUUUAAGCCUCUCCAAACCUCUUUGUAUUCAUCCUGCUGGUCAUUUCUUACAGAACAAUAAUAUUCCAUAACAUUCAUAUACCACAAUUUACUCAACCAUUCUCCAAUUGAUGGGCAUCCAUUCAUUUUCCAGCUUCUGGCCACUACAAAGAGAUGCCACAAACAUUUUGGCACAUACAGGUCCCUUUCCCUUUUUUAGUAUCUCUUUGGGGUAUAAGCCCAAUAGAAACACUGCUGGAUGAAAGGGUAUGCACAGUUUGAUAACUUUUUGGGCAGAGUUUCAAAUUGCUCUCCAGAAUGGCUGGAUGUGUUCACAAUUCCACCAACAAUGUAUCAGUGUCCCUGUUUUCCCACAUCCCCUCCAACAUUCUGCGUUAUCUUUCCCUGUCAUUUUGGCCAAUCUGACAGGUGUGUAGUGGUAUCUCAGAGUUGUCUUAAUUUGCAUUUCUCUGAUCAAUAGUGAUUUGGAACACUCUUUCAUAUGAGUGGUAAUAGUUUCAAUUUCAUCAUCUGAAAAUUGUCUGUUCAUAUCCUUUGACCAUUUAUCAAUUGGAGAAUGGCUUGAUUUCUUAUAAAUUAGAGCCAAUUCUCUAUAUAUUUUGGAAAUGAGUCCUUUAUCAGAACCUUUGACUGUAAAAAUGUUUUCCCAGUUUAUUGUUUUCCUUCUAAUCUUGCCUGCAUUAGUUUUGUUUGUACAAAAACUUUUCAAUUUGAUAUAAUCAAAAAUUUCUAUUUUAUAGUCAAUAGUGAUCUCUAGUUCUUCUUUGGUCAUAAAUUCCUUCCUCUUCCACAGGUCUGAGAGGUAAACUAUCCUAUGCUCUUCCAAUUUAUUAUGAUCUUAUUCUUUAUGCCUAGAUCAUGAACCCAUUUUGACCUUAUCUUGGCGGUGUCAAGUGUGGGUCAAUGCCUAGUUUCUGCCAUACUAAUUUCCAAUUUUCCCAGCAAUUUUUGUCAAAUAAUGCAUUCUUAUCCCAAAAACUGAGGUCUUUGGGUUUGUCAAACACUAGGUAAUUAAAGUUAUUGGCUGUUUUGUCCUUUGAACCUAACCUAUUCCAUUGAUCAACUACUCUAUUUCUUAGCCAAUACCAGAUGGUUUUAGUAACUGCUGCCUUAUAAUAUAAUUUUAGAUCUGGUACAGCUAGGCCACCUUCAUUUGAUUUUUUUUUCAUUAAUUCCCUUGAAAUUCUUGACCUUUUGUUUUUCCAUAUGAACUUUGUUGUUAUUUUUUCUAGGUCAUCAAAAUAGUUUUUGGGAAGUCUGAUUGGUAUAGCGCUAAAUAAAUAGAUUAGUUUAGGUAGUAUUGUCAUCUUUAUUAUAUUUGCUCGCCCAAUCCAAGAGCAUUUAAUAUUUUUCCAGUUGGUUAGAUCAGGCUUAAUUUGUGUGCAAAGUGUUUUGUAGUUUUGCUUAUAAAGUUCCUGAUUUUCCCUUGGCAGAUAGUCAAUCUAUUUAUUUAGUGCCAUACCAAUCAAACUGUCAAGAAAGUACUUUAUAGAGCUAGAAAAAAUAAUAACAAAAUUCAUCUGUAGAAACAAAAGAAUUUCAAGGGAAUUGAAAAAAAUGCAAAGGAACAUGGCUUAGCUGUACCAGACCUCUAUAUUAUAAAGUAGUGGACAUCAAAACCAUUUGGUAUUGGCUAAGAAAUAUAGUAGUAGAUCAGUGGAAUAGGUUAGGUUCACAAUACAUAAUAGUCAAUGACUAUAGUAAUCUAGUGUUUAAUAACCCAAAACUCUAACUUCUGGGAUAAGAACUCACUAUUUCACAAAAAUUUCUGGGAAAACUAAAAAAUAGUAUAGCAGAAAUUAGGCACUGACCAACACCUAACACUCUAUACCAAUAUGAGGUCAAAAUGGGUUCAUGAUUUAGACAUAAAGGGUAAUAUUAUAAAUAAAUUAGGAGAACAAGGGAUAGUCUACCACUCAGAUCUAUGGAGAAGGAAGGAAUUUAUGGAUAAAGAGGAAAUAGAGAACAUUAUAAAGUGCAAAGUAGAUAAUUUUCAUUAUAUUAAGUUAAAAAGGUUUUGUACAAACAAAACCAAUGCAGACAAAAUUAGAAGGGAAACAAAAAACUGGUGGUGGUGGGAUUUACAUCCAAUAUUUCUGAUACAAACCUAAUUUCUAAAAUAUAUAAAGAAUUGAUUCAAAUUUAUGAGAACACAAACUAUUAUUCAACUUAUAAAUGGUCAAAGGAUAUAAACAGACAACUUUCAGAUGAAGAAAUUAAAGCCAUUUCCAGUCAUAUGAAAAAAUUCUCUAAAUCACUAUUGAUUAGAGAAAAGCAAAUUAAGACAAUUCUGAGGUACCACUUCACACUUCUCACAUUGGCUAAGAUGAAGGAAAAGAUAAUGAUAAAUGUUGGAGGGGAUGUGGGAAAAUUGAACACUAAUACAUUCUUGGUAUAGUUAUGAACUAAUCCAACCAUUCUGAAGACCAAUUUGGAACUGUGUUCAAAGGGCUAUAAAACUGUGCAUACCUUUGAUCCAGCAGUGUCUCUACUGGGUCUGUAGAGAAUUCCAAAGAGAUUACAAAAAAGGGAAAAGAACCCACAUGGGUAAAAAUGUUUGUAGCAGUCCUUUUUGUAGUGGAAAGGAACUGGAAAAUAAGUGAAUUCCCAUCCAUUGGGGAAGCUGAAUAAGUUAUGGUAUAUGAAUGUAAUAGAAUAUUAGAGUUCUAUAAGAAAGGAUGAGCAGGCUGAUUUCAGAAAAACCUGGAAAGACUUACAUGAAUGAACUGAUGCUAAGUGAAGUGAGUAGAAGAACCAAGAGAACAGUAUACAUAAUAACAAUAAGAAAUGUGAUGAUAAAUUGUAAUGGACUUAGCUCUUUUCAACAAUGAAGUGAUUCAAGGCAAUUCCAAUAGACUUGUGAUGGAAAAGUCAUCCGCAUCCAAAGAGAGGACUAUGGAGAAUGAAUGUGGAUCACAGCAUACUAUUUCCACCUUUUGCUGUUGUUGUUUAUUUACUUGUUUUUAAAAAAAAAUUUCCCUAUUGAUCUAUUUUUCUUGUGCAGCAUGAUAAAUGGACAUAUGUUUAAAAGAAUUGUAUAUUCUUUAUGCAUUAAACUAUAUUGGAUUACUUGCCUCUAGGGGAAGAGAAAAGUAGGGAAAAAGGGAUAAAAAUGUGGAACACAAGGUUUUGUAAAGUUGAAUGUUGAAAAUUAUCUUUGUAUGUAUUUUGAAAAAUA